AUUGAACGCUGGCGGCAUGCUUUACACAUGCAAGUCGAACGGCAGCGCGGGGCAACCUGGCGGCGAGUGGCGAACGGGUGAGUAAUACAUCGGAACGUACCCAGAAGUGGGGGAUAACGUAGCGAAAGUUACGCUAAUACCGCAUACGUUCUACGGAAGAAAGUGGGGGACCUUCGGGCCUCAUGCUUUUGGAGCGGCCGAUGUCUGAUUAGCUAGUUGGUGAGGUAAAGGCUCACCAAGGCGACGAUCAGUGGCUGGUCUGAGAGGACGACCAGCCACACGGGGACUGAGACACGGCCCAGACGCCUACGGGAGGCAGCAGUGGGGAAUUUUGGACAAUGGGCGCAAGCCUGAUCCAGCAAUGCCGCGUGAGUGAAGAAGGCCUUCGGGUUGUAAGGCUCUUUGGUCAGGGAAGAAACGGCUGAGGAUAAUACCUUCGGCUAAUGACGGUACCUGAAGAAUAAGCACCGGCUAACUACGUGCCAGCCGCCGCGGUAA
rnacentral:rRNA from 1 species